rnacentral:rRNA from 1 species
UAAAUCAGUUAUCGUUUAUUUGAUAGUACCUUACUACUUGGAUAACCGUGGUAAUUCUAGAGCUAAUACAUGCUAAAAACCCCAACUUCGGGAGGGGUGUAUUUAUUAGAUAAAAAACCAAUGCCCUCCGGGGCUCUUUGGUGAUUCAUGAUAACUUAACGGAUCGCAUGGCCUUGCGCCGGCGACGGUUCAUUCAAAUUUCUGCCCUAUCAACUUUCGAUGGUAAGGUAUUGGCUUACCAUGGUUUCAACGGGUAACGGGGAAUUAGGGUUCGAUUCCGGAGAGGGAGCCUGAGAAACGGCUACCACAUCCAAGGAAGGCAGCAGGCGCGCAAAUUACCCAAUCCCGACUCGGGGAGGUAGUGACAAUAAAUACUGAUACAGGGCUCUUUUGGGUCUUGUAAUCGGAAUGAGUACAAUUUAAACCCCUUAACGAGGAACAAUUGGAGGGCAAGUCUGGUGCCAGCAGCCGCGGUAAUUCCAGCUCCAAUAGCGUAUAUUAAAGUUGUUGCAGUUAAAAAGCUCGUAGUUGAACCUUGGGCCUGGCUGGCCGGUCCGCCUCACCGCGUGUACUGGUCCGGCCGGGCCUUUCCUUCUGGAGAGCCGCAUGCCCUUCACUGGGUGUGUCGGGGAACCAGGACUUUUACUUUGAAAAAAUUAGAGUGUUCAAAGCAGGCCUUUGCUCGAAUACGUUAGCAUGGAAUAAUAGAAUAGGACGUGCGGUCCUAUUUUGUUGGUUUCUAGGACCGCCGUAAUGAUUAAUAGGGAUAGUCGGGGGCAUCAGUAUUCAAUUGUCAGAGGUGAAAUUCUUGGAUUUAUUGAAGACUAACUACUGCGAAAGCAUUUGCCAAGGAUGUUUUCAUUAAUCAGUGAACGAAAGUUAGGGGAUCGAAGACGAUCAGAUACCGUCGUAGUCUUAACCGUAAACUAUGCCGACUAGGGAUCGGGCGAU